rnacentral:rRNA from 1 species
GACGAACGCUGGCGGCGUGCUUAACACAUGCAAGUCGAGCGGUAAGGCCCUUUCGGGGGUACACGAGCGGCGAACGGGUGAGUAACACGUGGGUGACCUGCCCUUAGCUCUGGGAUAAGCCUGGGAAACUGGGUCUAAUACCGGACAUGACUCCAUGACGCAUGUUGUGGGGUGGAAAGCCUUGUGCGGCUAGGGAUGGGCCCGCGGCCUAUCAGCUUGUUGGUGGGGUGAUGGCCUACCAAGGCGACGACGGGUAGCCGGCCUGAGAGGGCGACCGGCCACACUGGGACUGAGACACGGCCCAGACUCCUACGGGAGGCAGCAGUGGGGAAUCUUGCGCAAUGGGCGAAAGCCUGACGCAGCGACGCCGCGUGAGGGAUGACGGCCUCGG